UUGACAGCUUCUAACAACUCAGUAUACUCCUAUGAACAAAAUUUGGAGCAUAUUUGUUUCUCUCUACCUGAUUUCUUCAGACUGUGGAAACUAUUUGAAUCAAACUUGACUUAUGGAUCCAAUAAAGCCCUUGGAAAAACUGGCCUCAUAUUUUGUGUAAACAGUCCCCGUACAGGGUUUCUGACUUGUGGACAUGAGACUUCACAGCCUGCUAAAAAUAAGCUUUUGGGACCUACCCAUUUAGGAAUAAACAGUCCUAGCCUUGAGAGAUCAGAUGAAAUCUGAGGCCAGAGACUCAUUUUCUUCUAAAAUGCUUUCUCCAAAAGAUUUUUAAAUAGAAAAGAGGGGAAAUGUGAAAGGAAAAUGUCUUCAGCCCCUUCAAGCUGGGAACUCUCAGUACAAAUCUGUCUCUCAUUCUAUUCAAAGUCAUUUCUCUGCUCAGAGAUAGAUGCAUAUUCUGAUUGCCUUCUUUGGAAAGACUUACCAGAAACUCAAAAGAAUGCAACCAUCUGUCUCUCACCUACCUGUGACCUGGAAGCCCAUAGGGUAAAGGGGGCUUGCUUUGAGUUGUCUCUACUUUUCUGAAUGGAAUGAAUGUACUUCUUACAUUUAUUGAUUGAUGUCUCAUGUUUCCCUAAAAUGUAUAAAACCAAUCUGUGCCCCGGCCACCCUGGGCAUGUGUUGUCAGGACUUCCUAAGGCUAUGUCACAGGUGCAUCCUCAACUUUGGCAAAUAAACUUUC
rnacentral:lncRNA from 10 species